CAGCCGCCGCGGGAAUACGUAGGUCCCGAGCGUUGUCCGGAUCCAUUGGGCGUAAAGCGAGCGCAGGCGGUUAGAUAAGUCUGAAGUUAAAGGCUGUGGCUUAACCAUAGUACGCUUUGGAAACUGUUUAACUUGAGUGCAAGAGGGGAGAGUGGAAUUCCAUGUGUAGCGGUGAAAUGCGUAGAUAUAUGGAGGAACACCGGUGGCGAAAGCGGCUCUCUGGCUUGUAACUGACGCUGAGGCUCGAAAGCGUGGGGAGCAAACAGGAUUAGAUACCCCCGUAGUCCCUGUCUCUUAUACA
rnacentral:rRNA from 1 species